rnacentral:tRNA from 1 species
GCGCUAGUGGUGUAGUAGCAGCAUUUACGCCUCCCACGCGUAAGACUCGGGUGCAAAUCCCGGCUAGCGCA